rnacentral:rRNA from 1 species
AGAUUGAACGCUGGCGGCAGGCCUAACACAUGCAAGUCGAGCGGCAGCACGGGUACUUGUACCUGGUGGCGAGCGGCGGACGGGUGAGUAAUGCCUAGGAAUCUGCCUGAUAGUGGGGGAUAACGUUCGGAAACGGACGCUAAUACCGCAUACGUCCUACGGGAGAAAGUGGGGGAUCUUCGGACCUCACGCUAUCAGAUGAGCCUAGGUCGGAUUAGCUAGUUGGUAGGUAAAGGCCUACCAAGGCUACGAUCCGUAACUGGUCUGAGAGGAUGAUCAGUCACACUGGAACUGAGACACGGUCCAGACUCCUACGGGAGCAGCAGUGGGGGAAUAUUGGACAAUGGGCGAAAGCC